UGUCCUAGGUGCGCGAGGUUUUGGCCACUACACAACUCGCGCGCCGUAUCCAAUCCUGGCCCAAUCCCAUGCCCAGCCUCUUUCCCUUCCAAUCUCCAGUGGCCACACCCUCUCUCCUCCCGCACGAACCCUAGAAAAUGCCAGCCGCCGCCCUCACUCCUCCCAGCCGCCUCCAUGCUCUCUUCCCCCUCCUCCUCCAUCCUCCCGCAUCUCAUCCAUCUCGCCGGAUCCCAGGCGUGGGAGCACAGAGGCGAGCUUCUACGGCAGCGGCGGGAGACUGCAGGCAAAGGGCGACCCCAUGGAUCCGUGUCCAGCCCUCCUCAUCCCGGUUCCCAUGGAUCCGAGGCUUGUAGGCACGGAGGCGAACUGCCUCGGCGGCGGCGGCAACUGCAGGCAAGGGGCAAUGGUGGUGCCGCUCCAUCUGAUCUGCACGAGAGGGACAAGAUGAGAGGGAGAGAGAGCAUUAGAACAUCGAAUUCAACCGGCUUACAAGUUGAAGAGAAGGUUAAGUACGCUCCUUGUGAGCAGUACUGAGUAAUCUAAUGAUCUGCUCCAUGCAAUCUAAGAAAAAUAAAUGUGCAAGCCAUUUCUGAUAGAAGGUUUGGGUAUCAACUAUUUUUGUUUGUGUCUACAAGCUUUUGACUUUCUUGCCCGGUCUAUUGUUUAUUUGCAAUAUUGGAUACACUUGCCAUUUCUUGUGAAUAUUUUUUUGUUUGUCAUACUCUCAAUAUAUUGCAUAUUAACUCUAUAUUGAAGAAUAUUUGAACAAUCAGUACUUCACCGCGGUAAUCUACAGGAAGGCAAGGAUAACUAUAUUAAACAUUUCACGAGAUCCUUCCAAUUAUUGGCACAAACUCCUUUUCAAGAUAUUACAAGUGUGGUUGUCUACCGGAGAUUAUCAGAUGGAAAGAACGUAUAUCCUUCAUCUUUAUUUAGAUGUUUAAUUAGAUGCACAAGCGUACAUGAUUCUGUGCCAUAUCCCUUUUCUAUCCAGCUGCUGCAUUCUUUUCUUUCAUAUGUGUUGUCAUGGUCAUUAGUUUAGAUUGUGUUAAUAUUUAUGAUAUGGCCCAGAGUUGUGUUUUGUUUUUGCUCAUGCUUGCUGCUUGCAUGAUUGAACAUCUGGUGUUUUGUCUGAUCAACCAUUUGUGUGCAGUAGUAUUCAUUUUAUCCUUGAUCAUGUGCGUGUGUACAUCUACUGAAGUAGUUUUAAUUGAUAUAAAAGUUUUGAUUUAUUGCAGCAAUUUGACUUUAACCAGCCAUAGUCUACAAGGAACAUUAGGAGUAGACUAUGACUUUCCAUCUGGAAAGUGUUUUCUAUGCAGAAUUGACUGAUGGUGAUGACAUAUACUUAUAUGCCCAUUAUCGGGUGAUAGCUAUUGUUCUCUACCAAUGGUAUGUUUGCAACUGCAACCCAUAUUCCAAUGAUGGCCAUAGCCGAGACGACAUGCAUCAGCGGGGAGAAUCACCACAACGGACUGCAUCUGCCCAGACGAUUUUUGCAACGGCCACGACGAAGUGCAUCUCUCAAUUCCAGGAUCAGCAUGCUGGAUGAAUCCUCCUUGCCUGUUAAGUUGCAAUGGUGCAACCAAACACCAUGGAGGCUUUUGUAUUAGGGACGGUGAAUCUGCAUCGAUAGUGAUGGAUGGAAAUUGCUCGCCCUCCUUCCUCCAUAAACCAUGGGGACCUUGUAUAGUUGUAUUAGCCUCCCCAUCUAUCCGUCAGGAAGCCCUGACUUUCCCUGCUAUUGCUGUCGAAAACGCUACCCUUGCAGAACAUGAACCGAACUUAAGUAUCGCACAUGGAGCUUCAGGUAACAAAUCUGAAAGAACCAAAAUUAAUGUAUGACAUGUCUUUUGUCACAACGCCUCUCUCUUAUUUUGUAUGACCUGCUGCAUGUUCAAUGGAGUGUACCAACUACCAAGUGCUAGAAGCAUCAUUAUAGAUUAAUUAUGUACCAGAUCACUUUGCUUCAGCCUUUUAGGAGCAUUUUUCUAUAUUACAUACAUGUUCGUGCAACACUGCCAAAUACAUAUAGCCGGGAAAUGCAGAUGAACGGGGUUGGGUUUAAUACACUCAUAAAGAAAGCAAGUGUUCCUCUGUUUUUAAGUCAAUUGCUUUUCACUGGCCAUAAUCAUAUUCAGUUCAGUUACUUGUAGAUGAAGGUGCUUACUGAUUCACUCUUUAUGCAACACUCAUCUUUUAUACCUGAAUGUGAAGAUAAUUUGAAGCCUCAAAUGGGGAUGACAUUUGAAGGACUGAAGGUUGCGGAGUAGCUCUACAAGUCUUAUGCACACCACUCUGGUUUUAGAGUUUGUAUUGGACAACAAAUGAAGUUAGAAAAUGAGGUCAUUCACAAUAAAAGCUAUUGUACAUGUUUGGUAAUGAUACCUACGAGAUACUAUCAUGGGUUGAGCACCAAUCAUUGCCUUGUGUCACCAGGUAAGUGUCAUUUAAUCAAAUCAAAUCAUUGAGGUAGUGAGAGGGCGAAGAACGCAUUGUACACAUGCAGCAAAGCAAGCAGAGCUCAUUAAUACAAUUUUAUUAGUUUUAUGAAAGUUUGAAUUCUAUGUAAUGGAUGAGAGGUUGUGUUUAUUCUCCAAUUAUUUGUCCUAUUUCUAUCACAUUUGAUGCGUCCGUAAUUACUUCUGAGUGGUCUGUAGAUGCUGUGAAUUCCAGUUGUUUAUGAAGGUUGGGAGUUUCUUCUUGUUUA